CAGAGGUGUGUCUGUGUGUCUCUCUGACAGGAAGCAGAGGUGUGGCUGUGUGUCUCUCUGAUAGGAAGCAGAGGUGUGGCUGUGUGUCUCUCCUACAGGAAGCAGAGGUGUGGCUGUGUGUCUCUCUGAUAGGAAGCAGAGGUGUGGC